AAUAUGGGGGUGGUUCUUCAUCUGCUCUUUGUGCUCUUUCGGAUGGCAAAAUAUCGGCGGGGUCCCGGACACAUCGGGUGUGAUGUUCUCUUGUUAAAGAUAAAAUGGCAAGAGACCAAAAUAAUAAAAUCCUUAAACAAAACAACUGAUAUCUUAUUGGCCGAAACUAUGGAAAUAAUAACAGUUAAAAAAAAUGAAAAUCUUUUGACUGAUAAGCCGGAAAUAGAUUUACCCACACCUUGGAUGUAUCUAAUAAACAGGGCAAGUAACAAAAAUAUGCAGUUAACACUGGGAAUAUAAUUUAAUCUAAUUAGUUAUUAAAAAAAC
rnacentral:lncRNA from 1 species